UACGGAGGUGGCAAGCGUUAUCCGGAUUCACUGGGUUAAAGGGUGCGUAGGUGGGUCUGUAAGUCAGUGGUGAAAUCUCCGAGCUUAACUUGGAAACUGCCAUUGAUACUAUAGAUUCUUGAAUAUUGUGGAGGUCAGCGGAAUAUGUCAUGUAGCGGUGAAAUGCUUAGAUAUGACAUAGAACACCAAUUGCGAAGGCAGCUGGCUACACAUAUAUUGACACUGAGGCACGAAAGCGUGGGGAUCAAAACCAGG
rnacentral:rRNA from 1 species